AGCCAGCAUGGCUCACCUGUUGAACACAUUGUGCUGUGUCCUGGUUGGGAAAUGUGUAAUUUCAAGCCCAGUCAAAAGGAAGCAUUUUUUUUUUAAAG